AUGCGGGCAAAACCCCUCGAUGAACCCUACCGCAGCCUUCUCCCCCUCGCCACUCGUCCACGCGCAGCCAUAGGGCAAAUCGGAUCUCAUGGAGGAGCUUCAGCCGCCGCCGCCGUUGACCGUCCGAAUCCACCGCCCGCACCAGGACGACGCUGCCACCGACGCCCGACUUCGCCGGAGCACGCCGGAGUUCAGGAGCUCGCCGCCACCCUCAGUAGAGGACGCCCCGUCGCCGUUGAACACCACCACCACCUCCACCACUCACCGCCGCAUCCUCCUGUCACUUCCCCCUCGCCGGAGAGUCGCCAGAGGAGCGCCACCGCCGCCGUUUUCCUCUGUACAUGA
rnacentral:rRNA from 1 species